UAUUGGUCAAUAGCCUAACGGCUGAACCAGCAACUUGGAGGAAUGUAUAGCGAAAGCUAAUUGUAUUAGCUGGCAAUGGUUAAUACAAUAUCGACUAUGUCGACUAAAAUUCUAGGUAAAACAAUGAUAAUGACAUUUUUUAUCUAUGUGUCUUGACCAAAUCACGUGCCAGCAGUCGCGGCAAUACGUGGAAGACUAGUGUUAUUCAUCUUUAAUAGGUUUAAAGGGUACCCAGACGGAAUAUUUAGCCCAAAAAGGGUACUAAAUAUACUAGAGUUUGAUGUGAGAGGGAAUAAAUAGUACUAACGGAGGAGAGAUGAAAUUCGUUGAUACCGGGAGGAAACUGGCAGCGGCGAAAGCAACUCUUUAUGUAAUAACUGACGUUGA
rnacentral:rRNA from 1 species